GAUGAACGCUGGCGGCGUGCCUAAUACAUGCAAGUCGAGCGAACGGACGAGAAGCUUGCUUCUCUGAUGUUAGCGGCGGACGGGUGAGUAACACGUGGAUAACCUACCUAUAAGACUGGGAUAACUUCGGGAAACCGGAGCUAAUACCGGAUAAUAUUUUGAACCGCAUGGUUCAAAAGUGAAAGACGGUCUUGCUGUCACUUAUAGAUGGAUCCGCGCUGCAUUAGCUAGUUGGUAAGGUAACGGCUUACCAAGGCAACGAUGCAUAGCCGACCUGAGAGGGUGAUCGGCCACACUGGAACUGAGACACGGUCCAGACUCCUACGGGAGGCAGCAGUAGGGAAUCUUCCGCAAUGGGCGAAAGCCUGACGGAGCAACGCCGCGUGAGUGAUGAAGGUCUUCGGAUCGUAAAACUUUGUUAUUAGGGAAGAACAUAUGUGUAAGUAACUGUGCACAUCUUGACGGUACCUAAUCAGAAAGCCACGGCUAACUACGUGCCAGCAGCCGCGGUAAUACGUAGGUGGCAAGCGUUAUCCGGAAUUAUUGGGCGUAAAGCGCGCGUAGGCGGUUUUUUAAGUCUGAUGUGAAAGCCCACGGCUCAACCGUGGAGGGUCAUUGGAAACUGGAAAACUUGAGUGCAGAAGAGGAAAGUGGAAUUCCAUGUGUAGCGGUGAAAUGCGCAGAGAUAUGGAGGAACACCAGUGGCGAAGGCGACUUUCUGGUCUGUAACUGACGCUGAUGUGCGAAAGCGUGGGGAUCAAACAGGAUUAGAUACCCUGGUAGUCCACGCCGUAAACGAUGAGUGCUAAGUGUUAGGGGGUUUCCGCCCCUUAGUGCUGCAGCUAACGCAUUAAGCACUCCGCCUGGGGAGUACGACCGCAAGGUUGAAACUCAAAGGAAUUGACGGGGACCCGCACAAGCGGUGGAGCAUGUGGUUUAAUUCGAAGCAACGCGAAGAACCUUACCAAAUCUUGACAUCCUUUGACAACUCUAGAGAUAGAGCUUUCCCCUUCGGGGGACAAAGUGACAGGUGGUGCAUGGUUGUCGUCAGCUCGUGUCGUGAGAUGUUGGGUUAAGUCCCGCAACGAGCGCAACCCUUAAGCUUAGUUGCCAUCAUUAAGUUGGGCACUCUAAGUUGACUGCCGGUGACAAACCGGAGGAAGGUGGGGAUGACGUCAAAUCAUCAUGCCCCUUAUGAUUUGGGCUACACACGUGCUACAAUGGACAAUACAAAGGGCAGCGAAACCGCGAGGUCAAGCAAAUCCCAUAAAGUUGUUCUCAGUUCGGAUUGUAGUCUGCAACUCGACUACAUGAAGCUGGAAUCGCUAGUAAUCGUAGAUCAGCAUGCUACGGUGAAUACGUUCCCGGGUCU
rnacentral:rRNA from 1 species